CAUACUCUUGAAUUCGCAAAAAGAAAAGGAGUACUUGUGGCACCUUAGAGGUGCCACAAGUACUCCUUUUCUUUUUGCGAAUACAGACUAACACGGCUGCUACUCUGAAUACUCUUGAAUUGUUAGAGUAGCUUAAUAUUCUUACUGUUAAAAGGAUGGGUUAUGUGUGUAUUACUGCUUAUUGAACUAACUUGAUAUAAUGGUCAUCUUAUUGUUCUUUAAAAUGUACAGAGCAUUAAAACAUUAUCUAAUUCUCACAGCACCCCUAUGGGGUAGGUGGUAAAUGUUCCCAUUUAUAGGUGGCUACUCUGAGGCAAAGAAAUAAUGCGAUUUGCUCAAGUCCAGACAGCAAGUCAGUGGCUGAGCCAAGAUUAGAAUUUGAGAGCUGACCCCCAGCCCAUGGUCAUUACUGUAUAGAUACACUGCCUCCCAAGGUGGGUGAAGCAGCUGGUUGUAAAAGGGAAACAUAUAAUCAGGUUUAAGGACUUGUCUAUACAGCCUGCAGUUUGCACUGCAGGGUGCGAAUUGCUGUGUUUACUAAUGUGCUUAUGCUGUAACUGCCCUGUGUGGAGGCCUGAGACAGGAACUAAAAGGCACCUCUUUAAAGAGGAAUGAGGAAUGGUAACAUGAACUAGGAACCUUUUAGUUCCCUUCUGCUGUGCUGCAGUUCACACCCAUGUAGUCCAAACUGCAGGGCAGUGUUGACAUUACAUAAGUGUUUGUUUCCACCUAAAUAAACUUCAGCUCCUCCUUAAACCAUUGAGAAUUUGGUUCAAAGUUGCAAAGCUGAUACGUUAAAUUGAGAACAAUAGAAUUCAAUUUCACCAUCUAAUUUUUAGUUUGAAAUGGGCCUGUCACUUCAGAUAGCGUGAUAAUGGUGGAAGCUAUACAAGAACCUAGAAACAGUAUAGGACUUUCCUUACAGAGCAGUUAGCAUAUAAUAGUGGAUGGACAAUCAUCUGGGUUGUAUUCCUGACUUGCUGCAGUAAGCAGAUAAAAUCAUCUAACCUUUCUGAACGUUAGUGUUCCCAUCUGUAAAGUGGAGAUGAUACUUAUGCCCAUCUAUGAAGCAUUUUGAGAGUCUCUGAAAGGUGCCCAAAGCGAAAAAUCAUAUUGCAGCUGCUUUGAAACUGAGAUCUAUUGCUUUAAAAUUGUAGUUGUGGCUCUCAAUAUUAUAGCUUCAUCUGAUUUCCUUUUUUAAAAAUAAUACAUACAUUUAAGAAUGAUUACUAUUGAUAUGAGGCUAGAAUCGUCUAUUGCCCUGGCAUUUAACUUUAAAACGACCAGGUAAAGCAGUUUGCUGCUUUCGCUUCUCUCUGUUCCUUAGAAGUCACUUUCCUCAAAUUAAUCUGAUUUCCUAUUUUUACAACUCAGAUUUGCUUCAUAAACUGUUAGUCAAAUUAGGUACCUAGAACUUCUGUCGGGUAUCAUCCAGGUCUCCUUUAGGAUAUCACUUCCCUGUCCCACGGAGGUCCACUGUAGAAGCUGUGUGCUUAGCCACAGAACUGCUUUUGGUAGGAUGAGAUUGUGCUGUUGAGCCCAAAAUCAAGGACAUAAGUAGCCCUUGAUGCCAGUGGGUCCUCGCUUGACCUCUGUCUGCUUGCAAGAGUAAUUGCACAGCCAAUUUUUCCCUCUUUUGUGAUUUAAGUAAUUAAACAUUUGUAAAUGGCAUUUUAGUAGCUAAUUCAUAGGACUUAAUUAAGCUAUAUAGCAGGGCCACCACUUCCUGUAGCUACCAUUGGCUGGGGACAGCGAACUGCAGCGACUGGCAGCUGCGAGCGGCCCUACCUGCGGACGCUUAGGUAAACAAAAUGUCUCGUGGCCCGCCGGGGCUUACCCUGAAUAAGCCCUGAGCCAAGUUUGGGAACUCCUACUAUACAGUUAUUUCCUGUUUUUUAGCCCAUUCUUGCAGAUUCAAUUUUUAAAAAAGCUGAAUCAGCACCUUUCUCUUUCAGGAAGCUCUGAAAGUGCAUGGGGUGGAGAGACCUCUUACUCAUGUCUAAAAAUUCCUUAAUCAUUUGUGCAGUGGAAGUCCGUUGAACUGCUGUUUCUUGGGUCUAGCCAGAGGUGCUCCAUUAUGGAGAAGCAGUCAUUGAGUAUCUCUUGGAAGAAAAUAUUUAGAUAUUGAAAUGCGUAACAAAUGUAUAAAAUCUGUCAGUUAUGAUGAAAUGUGCAUUUCUUUGGAUAUGAAACAAUAUUCAUAACUAUUUUUACUUUUAAGUGCUUGGGUUUUGUAAAGGGUGAGAUAACUACACUGACACUUAGCAGACUUAACUGGAUUUUGAAACUAAGGUGUUUUGUUUUUUUUUGUUUUUUGUUUUUUUUAAAUACGUAAUUGAAGAUCCUUCAUUGUGCGUGACCAUUUAAGUUAUGGGAUGUUUAAACAUUGCAAUGGCAAGAAAAAGAUCUUGCUUUCUUAUCCUGCAUGUAUGUUCAUUCUCCAGGAGCUUUCCUGGUAAAUUGGUUGGAUAAUUUGAAAUUUGACCAGGAACUGGAUGGUGGUAGCCUGAAACAUCAGCUGUUAAGACCAUAACUUCUGUUUGAGCUACAGCAUAUCUUAAAGAUAUCCAUUCUUUAUGUAAAGCCUUCAAGAGAUGUGAACCCACAGUAUUCCUUGGUGAAUUCCAAAUAUUAGAUCUCAUGUCUUUUUGAGCUGCAUUAAAGGGAUGCCCAUUACCAGAAUCUCUUCCCCAUGUAGGUACUUCUAGACCAGAGGUGGGCAAACUACGGCCCGUGGGCCAGUCGUGCCUGGCCCCUGAGCUCCUGGCCAGGGACGCUCACCCUGGCCACACCCUUGCUUUCCCCCCUCCCCCACAGCUAUGCUGCCACACAAGCAGUGCAGCUUGUGCCCGCCCACCUCCCAGGCUUUCCAACAAGCCUGUCCUGCCUCUCUUAGCAGCAUGGUAAGGGGAUGGGGGAAGGGGGAGCAGGAGGUCCUGGGGGACGGGGUGGUCGGAUGGGGCGGAGGGAAAGAAGGAGCCGGGGAUAGAAUCAGUUGCAGAAGAUGAAGAUUGGAAUGGGAGGAAGGCCCAGGUUGGGAUAGAUGCCACUGGAGGCAGAUAUUAUGGGAGAGAGGCAUAGACAGAGCUGGCGGGACCUAUCACAGGGAGAGUAACAGGAAUGGGAAAUUGAGCUGCCAGAGAAAAAGGGAGAGGCUGCAAUGCAGGGAAGGGUGUGGCGAGAGAAGAGCUGUAUGAAUGGGUGGCCCUGCAGGGAAUUGUUUUUUUUUAAUAUGACUCAGGAAGACAGCAAAUUCUACAGAUUUGCAAUUCUGGAUGAAUCAGUGAGUUAGAAAAAAAAUUUGAGGAAUAAAUCAGUAAGCAGAUAAUUGGUUAUGAAACAGAGUAAUUAAGCAGAGAGAGUCCAGUAUAGGGGACAAUAGGUUAGCAAGAAAACUGAGUUUUGGAUCUAGACAAAUGAGGUCUGAGUGACAUCAGCUGCAAAGGCAAAGAAACUGUGCAGGUGUGCACUUGUGAGGUGUGGUUUUUUACACUGCUGCAGAUGCUCACACUGGGGUACCAGUGCCCUCUCCAAAGCCCUCAUUGUUCCCAGGUUAUGGGGAGGUGCAUUACUUUUCUUGUAUGCCUUGAUGUUUUGUUUCUGCAGGAGAUGACAACUGGAUGUUCCUCAGUAGUAUGAUUUCCCUGCAUAUGGGUACUAUGGCUCAACACAGCCUUUGCCUACCCUUUGGUCUUUGGAGAAUGUGCUCUUACAGUUAAAAGGCUUUACGGACACUUUGGCAAGCACUCUUCUUUUAUAAUUGGAAAUGUUUUUAACCUGAAUAAUUGGAAAGAUUAGGUAUUCACUAAUUACCUUUUUUAUUUUACACCUUUCCCUCAAAAAAGUGUCUCAUCUUGGUGUGGGGUCCCAGAGCUCAUGCUCCAUCCCACGUCUGAACAUCUACAUUGCAAUUGUGUAGUCCCGUAGCCCGAGACUUGUGAACGCAAGUCAGUUGACACAGGCCAGCUUCAGAUGUUCUAUUGCAGUGGAGACAUUCCUUAAAUAUUGACCUUUUAUUGACAAAUUACUGUAGGGAUACAGCACCCAGCAUAUGUUGAAAAACUAAGCCUUAUAUUAGGCCAUGUUUGCCUUAUUUAAGAAGACCUUCAAACUGAGUUAUGCUUCCUUUUUUGUUGCACGCUUGUGACCAGCUAUUCUUCUUUUAAAUUUUGUUAAGGGUAUAAAGAAAAAGAGUACUUGUGGCACCUUAGAGACUAACAAAUUUAUUUGAGCAUAAGCUUUCGUGAGCUACACCUUGCUUUGUCGGAUGCAUGCAGUGGAAAAUACA